GGUGUGGACCUUGUCCCUCUGUGAGGCUCACCUUAUGCGAUUCUCAAGGCUGUGUGGGACUCUGGGGUCUCUGGGUUGGGUUCCCCUGCAUCGGGUUCUUUGUUGGCUGUGGUUCUCUAAGGAUUUCUUAUUCAUUCCUAAAGCGUAGGAGUUAGCCGGCUUCCUUACUCAUUCUUACUCACUUUCCAUUCCCUGCACCCUGCAUCCACAUCAUUGGGGAACAGGCGGAAAGGAGGGACCCGGUGUCAAAGGGGCUUCGAACGAGACGGUGGUUAAACCAAAGGCAGACAGCUUCCAUGAAGCAAGUACCCUCCUGCCACGUGCUCCCCUCUCUGAUGUCCUGCCCUGAAGAGAGCACAAAAUCCAGCAGUGCCCGUUGUUCUUGGAAUGAACCAGAAUAAAGUUAUUCCUUUUAUUAAGAGGCAUGAUUCUAAAGAUCAGUGAAGCAUACUCUAUCAUGGAAUUUUAAUUUGUGCAAGCCAGUUCCCAUCAGCACUGGGGAAGUAGCCCAUGCCUCAUCACCUGUCUGCAAACAGGGAGCAGAAACAAUGCAAUCGAGAUGCCAGCUUCUCCAGAGGGCAAAGGCAAAUGGCGCCAAUAUGUCUACUGUUUGUUCUUUCCCUGGGUCUACAGAAAACAAAUUUAUCUUGGAAUGAGCAACAUUAAACUGAACAUCGGCUUUCUUUCUGUUUUUUGGUCAAGUGGGAACACAGACUCCCGGCGGAGAGAAUAAACAACGAUGUACUUUU